UACAGAGGGUGCAAGCGUUGUUCGGAAUUACUGGGCGUAAAGCGCACGUAGGCGGCGAUUCAAGUCAGAGGUGAAAGCCCGGGGCUCAACCCCGGAAUUGCCUUUAAGACUGCAUCGCUUGAAUCCAGGAGAGGUGAGUGGGAAUUCCGUGGAUGUAGCGGUGAAAUGCGUAGAUAUCAGGAGGAACACCUGUGGCGAAAGCGGCUCACUGGACCGAUAACUGACGCUGAUGCACGAAAGCUAGGGGAGCAAACAGG
rnacentral:rRNA from 1 species